GAGUGCUGUGACAGGCCUCAGCCUUCAUGCCACUGGCGACUAUCUCCUGAGCUCCUCCGAUGAUCAGUACUGGGCUUUCUCUGACAUCCAGACAGGGCGUGUGCUCACCAAGGUGACAGAUGAGACCUCCGGCUGCUCUCUCACCUGUGCACAGUUCCACCCUGACGGACUCAUCUUUGGAACAGGAACCAUGGACUCUCAGAUCAAGAUCUGGGACUUGAAGGUAGGACAUGGUAGGCCUCCAUCUGAGGCCCAGGGCCAGAGGGAGUGUUUGUGACAAUGCAGUGCUAAUUAGGUGCUUGUGGCACCUGGCCCUGAAGGUGGAGAGACACUGGCUGUGCGUGUGUGAUAUGAUGGUGUGGUCUGGGGGGUCCCGCUGGCUGUCCUUCCUGGAAGGACGUGAGGGACAUCUCAGGUAGGAGUUUGGUGAGCCCCAUUUUCUUCCUCUCAUGAUCUGUGGGUGACGUAUUUUACUACCCACCGCCACUGUAGGAACGUACUAAUGUGGCCAACUUCCCUGGCCACUCGGGCCCCAUCACUAGCAUCGCCUUCUCUGAGAAUGGUUACUACCUGGCUACAGCGGCUGAUGACUCCUCUGUCAAGCUCUGGGAUCUGCGCAAGCUUAAGAACUUUAAGACUUUGCAGCUGGAUAACAACUUUGAGGUAAAGUCACUGAUCUUUGACCAGAGUGGUACCUACCUGGCUCUUGGGGGCACGGAUGUCCAGAUCUACAUC
rnacentral:lncRNA from 1 species